UCUGAAAAAGGAUAAAAUAUUCCUGCUCUGUUUCCACCAAUUUCUCAGUUUCUGAAAAACAAAGCGAGGCACCGACAGCCCGAGGUGAUUUUCUGGCCCCGUCGUCCCAGAAACCCGCCGCAGCAUGUAGAUGUCAUGAAGUACCGGGUCCGGUCAACAUCCUGCAGAACCAAACAGCAGAACCAGACCUGGAAACGUCUGGAGGAGAAGGGUUUGGUACCAAACGACGCCACGGUAAACAUGGUCUGGUCUUUGGAACGGAACAGAGAGGAGGUGAUUGCAAGCAGCAACGAAACACAGAAGCAUCUUCAGGAAGCGCCGCUGCGCCGCGUCUUCCUGCUGCUGAAUGAACCUCGGAUCAGCUGAUGGCUGAUUUGUUCGGCGUUGAAAGCUUCGGAGGCUUCCUCCUGAUCUGGGUAUUCACUUCUGAAAGCUUCUCCCUGAAAACAUGCUGUCACCAAAGAAUGUGCUGUGAUUAUCUUCCCCAGCAGCAGCCUGGCAGGCGGAGAACCGGAUCUCUGCUCGGCGUCCCGACCCGACCCGACCCGGCUCACACACCGCCGGGAAAAACCUUCUCUGGUUUACAGGCUGUAAAGGAGCCUUGCUGUUCUGACGUCCGUCAUGGCGGAGUGGGCGGAGUUACGACGUCACAAUAACUUCCUGACCGCUUGAUGGCCAGCUGAUCCG